rnacentral:lncRNA from 1 species
UAUUAAAAUUUAUUUCUUUAAAUAUUUUACCUCAUUUUACCUUCAUUAUAUAUCCCUGUUGUUCGAAGAAAUUGCUCCGCAAUUUUACAUUUGAAUUUAUUUCUUUCAAACUUGUUUAAAUUUUAAAAACUUUUUUUUUAAUAUUCUCUUAACUGGAUUUGACUAUUUGACUUUGUGGCUUAUGAUCAGUUUAUAUUAGAUGUUUUGGUUAUACAAGUUGUUAUGACCAAGAUGACUUAUUGCGUUUUAGAUAUUCUUAUUUUUCUUAUUAUAAAAACAAUUUUAUUCUUUAAUAUUUUACAUUUUUCGAUCUCUUCAUCUUUAUAGUAAGAGCGUUGGUGUUUUUUUUUAUUAUUAUCAUUAUUAUUAUUAUCGUUUCUCUAUUUCUUAUAUAUGUGGUAAGCCCGCUUUUCUUGGUAGUCUGCUCGAACUCCAAAUAUACCCGAGUCAUUUCCUCUCUCUGGAGUAUGCUCAUUUUCCUGGGUACUUUGCUCCGACUCCAGAACUACCGCAAGUCAUACCCUCAUUUUCUUUUAUAUUUCUUUAGUCGGAUUUGUUGUUUGUUUUACAAUGGAUAGUUUUCUAAAACAUUUGAUUACAGUUAAGAUUUUACAUUAUGGUUAAUGAUUUGCUUAUGCUAGAAUACAUUAUGUUUGCUUUAAUCAAGGUUUUACAUGAUGACUAGCUAGGUCAACACAUUUAGCACUUAAUUAAUUAGGACGUCAACUAUUAAUUCUUAUGAUUAAACUAACAUUAAAUUCUUACAUACGGGAACCUUAAAACAUAUGUUUUACUCAACAUUUUAUCGUAAUCGCUAUAGAACCAUUCA